rnacentral:rRNA from 1 species
AGUGAACGCUGGCGGCGUGCCUAAUACAUGCAAGUCGAACGAAGUGGCGCACGGGUGAGUAAUAUAUAGUUAAUCUGCCCUACACAGAGGAACAACAGUUGGAAACGACUGCUAAUACCUCAUAGUGUAGGAUGAGACUAUAUCGUAUCAGCUAGUUGGUAAGGUAAUGGCUUACCAAGGCUAUGACGGGUAACUGGUCUGAGAGGAUGAUCAGUCAAAUUGGAAGUGAGACACGGGUCAAACUCCUUCGGGAGUCAGCAGUAAGGAAUAGUGCGCAAUGGGGGAAACCCUGACGCAGCAACGCGGCGUGGAGUAUGACACUCUGCGGAGAGUAAAAUCCUUUUAUCAGGAAAGCGGUACCUGAAGAAUAAGCACCGGCUAACUCCGUGCCAGCAGCCGCGGUAAUUC